GAGUUUGAUCUUGGCUCAGAUUGAACGCUGGCGGCAGGCCUAACACAUGCAAGUCGAGCGGAUGACGGGAGCUUGCUCCUUGAUUCAGCGGCGGACGGGUGAGUAAUGCCUAGGAAUCUGCCUGGUAGUGGGGGACAACGUUUCGGGAAAGAACGCUAAUACCGCAUACGUCCUACGGGAGAAAGCAGGGGACCUUCGGGCCUUGCGCUAUCAGAUGAGCCUAGGUCGGAUUAGCUAGUUGGUGGGGUAAUGGCUCACCAAGGCGACGAUCCGUAACUGGUCUGAGAGGAUGAUCAGUCACACUGGAACUGAGACACGGUCCAGACUCCGUACGGGAGGCAGCAGUGGGGAAUAUUGGACAAUGGGCGAAAGCCUGAUCCAGCCAUGCCGCGUGUGUGAAGAAGGUCUUCGGAUUGUAAAG
rnacentral:rRNA from 1 species